AUCCACUAGAGUGUUCUGGAGGAAGCAUUAAUCUCUAGGAAAGAAAUAAUUGGGGGAUUUUAUUAUUGAAAUAAGCAAGCAUGUUCAUGCAUAUUUUUCCGGCUUGCAUGCCCAUGCGCCACUCUGUACAAACAGUGCUAUUGCAGCUUGUGCGCAGUAAUUAGGUUGAUGUAAUUAUGGUGAAAUAAAGACAGCCUCACUGAUAAUUUCACAGUGACUAUUAAAGACAUAUGUGCCUUCCAGUGUACAAUAAAUGAACCUGAACUGCUGUCAGGGGCUAGGAGGACAGUGUGGCCAAUGCACCUAUUGUGUCCCUGCUGCAGAAAGGAGCCUGCCGAUUGGCCACUGUCUGCAGCACAUAGCACUGGCUGGUUAUAAAGGACUUGUCUAGGGGAGAGCCUGUAGGUACUCCAUUGUCUGGUAAAGUUCAUAUGACUGCAUUCUUUUUUUUGCAAGGGGGUGGAGGGAGAGUGGGGAAGGCGGGGGUGUCAGCUCAACUGUAAAAGCUGCACAGAUUUUUUUUUUUCUUUCUCUCUCUCUCUGCCUCUCCAUAGAUCGUUUCUGUUUCAUGCCCUGUCUCAUUUUGCAUAGCUAAAAGAGAAUGCUAAUUAAGACCCCUUGUCUUAACCUGAAAAUAAUGACUCGGAUAUAAUUAGAAAUCUGCUGAGAGUUUAAAAUUCUGGGAGGGGACCAUAAACAUCAGUUACGGUGCUUAGGAGGGAAAUGAAGAAUUAUUUUCCUGUAAUCAAGGUAAACAUGGGAGAGGGGGUUUCCCUCCUAUUUUUUUUUUUUUAACUCAUUUGAACCAAUGGUGUUCUACUGCAGAUGAGAGGAUACUGUGUUUCAAAAACUAUUUUAGCCAUCAAAUUGAAAGGACACAAAUCAGUAGCAAUAGAAGCCUUCUUAAUCCUCCUUAGGAUGCAAUUCAGAUGAAAGAACUGCUUUUUAAAAAAUUUUUCUUUUUGUAUGUGUGUGUUAUAGAUGGAUCUGAGAACGCUGUCUGGGCUUGGUGCCAAGCGCUGGUAUUUCACAGCAGCGACCGCCUCACAGAAGGGCUGUGGGAAGCAGGAGGGAGACUCUCUUAGGGUGCCACUACUAUGGAGACACAGCUGGGCUGAACAAGAUUUGCUUCAAACGACAACAAGAGAGACAGAAAGUAUCUGGUUCAACCGCUGCCCAAGCAGGCAGGCACCAGAAGAGCUAGCAGCCAAUCCGGCCAUGCUCGAAGCCAGCUCUGCAGCUCAGCCAAUCAGUGACAUCACUGCAUGCUGAAACUGCUGCAGAAGAAGUCAGAUCCUUGAGGUGGUGACUGUAAACUUCUAAUGUUUAAGACUGGGGACCUUGUUGACUAUUAGGAGAUAGCUGUCAGUUUUUAAUAAGAGAACAAGAAAAUAAAACUUGUUCUUCAUAACGGAUGAAAAUGGAA
ensembl:lncRNA